rnacentral:rRNA from 1 species
UAAAAUAAAAUUACCCGGGUAGUAUUCAGUUAUGUUCUUGAAACCCAAAGAGUUUGGCGGUAUCUCAGCCUAGUUAGAGGAGCUUGUUCCGUAAUCGAUAAUCCGCGAAAUAUCUUACAUACUCUUGUAACCAGUUUAUAUACCGUCGUUGUCAGAUAAUACUAAAAGGUUAAUAAUUAUCUAAAUAUAAUUAAAUAUAAUAUAUCAGAUCAAGGUGUAACUUAUGAGUGUGAGCUGAAUGAGCUACAAUUUAUAAUAAUAUAAAAUACGGAAAUUAAUUUUAAAGGAGUUAAUAAAAGGUGGAUUUAAUAGUAAUUAAAUUUUUAGUAAGUUGUAAUGAUAUAAGCUCUGAGAUAUGU